UUACGGCCAUAUGACAUUGAAACACCGGUUCUCAUUUGAUCACCAAAGUUGAACAAUAUUAGAUGUGGCCAGUACCUAGAUGGGUGACUGCUCAGGAAUACUAGGUGUUAUA